AUUGAACGCUGGCGGCAUGCUUUACACAUGCAAGUCGAGCGGCAGCGCGGGGGCAACCCUGGCGGCGAGCGGCGAACGGGUGAGUAAUGCAUCGGAACGUAUCCUCGAGUGGGGGAUAACCCAGCGAAAGUUGGGCUAAUACCGCAUGAGCGCUGAGGAGGAAAGCGGGGGACCUGCGAGGGCCUCGCGCUGGGGGGGCGGCCGAUGUCCGAUUCGCUAGUUGGUGGGGUAAAGGCUUACCAAGGCGCCGAUCGGUAGCUGGUCUGAGAGGAUGAUCAGCCACACUGGGACUGAGACACGGCCCAGACUCCUACGGGAGGCAGCAGUGGGGAAUUUUGGACAAUGGGGGAAACCCUGAUCCAGCCAUGUCGCGUGAGUGAAGAAGGCCUUCGGGUUGUAAAGCUCUUUCGGACGGAACGAAAUGGGCGGGACUAAUACUCCUGUCUGAUGACGGUACCGUAAGAAGAAGCACCGGCUAACUCCGUG
rnacentral:rRNA from 1 species